rnacentral:rRNA from 1 species
AUUGAACGCUGGCGGCAGGCCUAACACAUGCAAGUCGAGCGAGCGGCGGACGGGUGAGUAAUGUCUGGGAAACUGCCUGAUGGAGGGGGAUAACUACUGGAAACGGUAGCUACUACCGCAUACCAUCAGAUGUGCCCAGAUGGGAUUAGCUAGUGGGUGUGGUAACGGCUCACCUAGGCGACGAUCCCUAGCUGGUCUGAGAGGAUGACAUGCCACACUGGAACGGAGACACGGUCCAGACUCCUACGGGAGGCAGCAGUGGGGAAUAUUGCACAAUGGGCGCAAGCCGGAUGCAGCCAUGCCGCGUGUAUGAAGAAGGCCUUCGGGUUGUAAAGUACUGUCAGCGGGGAGGCGUUACCUGCAGAAGAAGCACCGGCUAACUCCGUGCCAGCAGCCGCGGUAAUUC